rnacentral:lncRNA from 1 species
UAAAAAAUAUAGAAAGACAGAUGUCAAUUAUGAUAUUAACAUAAGGAGGUGUGAAAAGAAAAUGGUUGGGAAUCUAGGGAUGAGAUGGAGUCCACGUUGUAAAAAUGACGCGCUAGCGAAGUGAAGUGUACUGUACACCUCAUGAAUUUUGUAAACUGCUUUGUUAGUUCCCUUACUUUUAUUUGCAGCGCUGUGCCUUGAAACAUAUCUGAUAGAAUCUCACUAUAAAUGGGGGCCGAGGACUUCUCAUGAGCAUCGGCAACUAAUUAAGAAAACACCAAGAGAUGGGUGCAGUUGGCAAGGCUUUCCUCAUCGUCUGCAUUCUCUUAUUCGUUCCUUCCGAGGCCCUGGUGGUGUCCAAUGCUCUGAAACCUUUCACAAACACAGCAUAGAACUGGUAAGACCGAGCCUUUUUCCAUAUUUUAUUUCUAUAGAUAAAAACAAUCAAUAUUUUAGAAGGAUUAAUCAGCAUAUUGUUUUUCAUAAUUUAUCUGAUAAACUUUGCUUCUUUGUUGAGAAUGGUCAAGAAACUGUGGGAGAACUUGCCCGAGUGGUCCAGUUCAUGCCCCCAUAGCACGUUGCAGCCCUGCAGAUAAAGAUCAUGGCUGCAGAAGGCCUCCAGCUCCGUGAAUUUGGUCUCUUAUUCUUAUGGUGUUCUUGGCAGUCAUGAAAGUAGUAAAGCAAUAAAUUGGGUCAUCGUCUCUAUAUGUGAAUUCUCACAAGUGGACUCUUGGAUGCAUAUGUGAAUCUGUAUAUAAGCGAAAAUGAAAAGGUACAGUGUCUCGUUCUAAUGGUGUUGUAUAUAUAUGUAACGUAAUGGUGUCUAAGAAGAAUUAAUCAACAUGUUGUUUUAGUGUGGAUUAAUUUGCCUCUGUAAUUAAUGAUAAUAAAUUCAUAUAUAUCCUAGAAAUUUUGAGGUAUUAUCAGCUCAUACGUAGAUUCAGCACCACGCUACCACGCUAACACUCAGCCAUGCAUUUGGCAUAGAAUAUCGAAUUCCAAAUGAAAGUACCAAGUGUCAUCAGCUUCAGUACUUUUACUCAAUUGUGGAAAUUGCUACCUAAUUGUAC